rnacentral:snRNA from 1 species
GUGCUUGCUAUGGCAGCACAUAUACUAAAAUUGGAACCAUACAGAGAAGAUUAGCAUGGCCCCUGCAAAAAGAAAAAAAAAAAAAAAACACCGGUUAUUACAGCUUGGU